rnacentral:rRNA from 1 species
ACUCAAAGGAAUUGACGGGGGCCCGCACAAGCGGUGGAGCAUGUGGUUCAAUUCGACGCAACGCGAAGAACCUUACCCAGGCUUGAACCGCCGGUGACAGCCCUGGAAACAGGGUUUUCCUUCGGGACGCCGGUAGAGGUGCUGCAUGGCUGUCGUCAGCUCGUGUCGUGAGAUGUUGGGUUAAGUCCCGCAACGAGCGCAACCCUUGCCCUUAGUUACCAUCGGGUUAUGCCGGGGACUCUAAGGGGACUGCCCCGGAAAACGGGGAGGAAGGUGGGGAUGACGUCAAGUCCUCAUGGCCUUUAUGUCUGGGGCUACACACGUGCUACAAUGGGCGGCACAAAGGGUCGCAAUGCCGCGAGGCUGAGCUAAUCCCAAAAAACCGUCCCCAGUUCGGAUUGGAGUCUGCAACUCGACUCCAUGAAGUUGGAAUCGCUAGUAAUCGCGGAUCAGCACGCCGCGGUGAAUACGUUCCCGGGCCUUGUACACACCGCCCGU